UACGUAGACAGCGAGCGUUGUUCGGAAUUACUGGGCGUAAAGAGUGUGUAGGCGGUGCUAUAAGUUCGGUGUGAAAUCUCCCGGCUCAACUGGGAGGGUGCGCCGAAAACUGUAGUGCUCGAACGUGGGAGAGGAAAGCGGAAUUCCUGGUGUAGCGGUGAAAUGCGUAGAUAUCAGGAGGAACACCUGCGGUGUAGACGGCUUUCUGGACCAUUGUUGACGCUGAGACACGAAAGCGUGGGUAGCAAACAGG
rnacentral:rRNA from 1 species